rnacentral:tRNA from 1 species
AUUUUUCUAGUACUAACGCUAGUAUAAGCGACUUCCAAUUGCCGGGUCUUGGUUAAAAUCCAAGGAAAAAUA